CCUGCCCUGGAAGUGUUGCAGGUGUGGCUGCUGUGUCACAUACUCACCAGCAGGUGGCAGAGAGGAGAGAGGCUGUGUUCUGACCUGUGAACAUCUGAAUGAGCAGU
rnacentral:snoRNA from 1 species